AUUUGGAGAGGAUGCUUCUGGCGCGGCGCCGUCCGAGUUCCUUGGAACAGGACGCCACAGAGGGUGAGAGCCCCGUACGGACGGACGCCUAGCCUCUACGAAGCUCCUUCGACGAGUCGAGUAGUUUGGGAAUGCUGCUCAAAAUGGGAGGUAAAUUUCUUCUAAAGCUAAAUACCGGCCAGAGACCGAUAGCGCACAAGUAGAGUGAUCGAAAGAUGAAAAGCACUUUGAAAAGAGGGUUAAAAAGUACGUGAAAUUGUUGAAAGGGAAGCGCCUGUGACCAGACUUGCGCCCCGCGGACCACCCGGCGUUCUCGCCGGUGCACUCUGCGGUGCGCAGGCCAGCAUCGGUUCUCCCAGGGGGACAAAGGCCGCGGGAACGUAGCUCCUUCGGGAGUGUUAUAGCCCGCGGCGGCAUGCCCCUGGGGGGACCGAGGACCGCGCUUCGGCAAGGAUGCUGGCGUAAUGGUCACCAGCGACCCGUCUUGAAACACGGACCAAGGAGUCAAGCAUUGGGGCGAGUGUAUGGGUGCCAAACCCGCACGCGAAAUGAAAGUAAACGCAGGUGAGAGCUUCGGCGCAUCAUCGACCGAUCCUGAUGUCUUCGGAUGGAUUUGAGUAAGANCCUUACCGCUUGGACCCGAAAGAUGGUGAACUAUGCCUGAAUAGGGUGAAGCCAGAGGAAACUCUGGUGGAGG
rnacentral:rRNA from 1 species